rnacentral:rRNA from 1 species
CGCUGCCAAGAAAAGCUUCUAGCGAGAUAAAAGGUGCCUGUACCGCAAACCGACACAGGUAGGCGAGGAGAGAAUCCUAAGGUGUGCGAGAGAACUCUGGUUAAGGAACUCGGCAAAAUGACCCCGUAACUUCGGGAGAAGGGGUGCUUUCUUAACGGAAAGCCGCAGUGAAUAGGCCCAAGCGACUGUUUAGCAAAAACACAGCUCUCUGCGAAGCCGUAAGGCGAAGUAUAGGGGGUGACACCUGCCCGGUGCUGGAAGGUUAAGGAGAGGGGUUAGCGUAAGCGAAGCUCUGAACUGAAGCCCCAGUAAACGGCGGCCGUAACUAUAACGGUCCUAAGGUAGCGAAAUUCCUUGUCGGGUAAGUUCCGACCCGCACGAAAGGUGUAACGAUUUGGGCACUGUCUCAACCAGAGACUCGGUGAAAUUAUAGUACCUGUGAAGAUGCAGGUUACCCGCGACAGGACGGAAAGACCCCGUGGAGCUUUACUGUAGCCUGAUAUUGAAUUUUGGUACAGUUUGUACAGGAUAGGCGGGAGCCAUUGAAACCGGAGCGCUAGCUUCGGUGGAGGCGCUGGUGGGAUACCGCCCUGACUGUAUUGAAAUUCUAACCUACGGGUCUUAUCGACCCGGGAGACAGUGUCAGGUGGGCAGUUUGACUGGGGCGGUCGCCUCCUAAAGUGUAACGGAGGCGCCCAAAGGUUCCCUCAGAAUGGUUGGAAAUCAUUCGUAGAGUGCAAAGGCAUAAGGGAGCUUGACUGCGAGACCUACAAGUCGAGCAGGGACGAAAGUCGGGCUUAGUGAUCCGGUGGUUCCGCAUGGAAGGGCCAUCGCUCAACGGAUAAAAGCUACCCCGGGGAUAACAGGCUUAUCUCCCCCAAGAGUCCACAUCGACGGGGAGGUUUGGCACCUCGAUGUCGGCUCAUCGCAUCCUGGGGCUGUAGUCGGUCCCAAGGGUUGGGCUGUUCGCCCAUUAAAGCGGUACGCGAGCUGGGUUCAGAACGUCGUGAGACAGUUCGGUCCCUAUCCGUCGUGGGCGUAGGAAAUUUGAGAGGAGCUGUCCUUAGUACGAGAGGACCGGGAUGGACGCACCGCUGGUGUACCAGUUGUUCUGCCAAGGGCAUAGCUGGGUAGCUAUGUGCGGAAGGGAUAAGUGCUGAAAGCAUCUAAG